CCCUUAGAUGUUCUGGGCCGCACGCGUGCUACACUGACCGGCGCAACAAGUUUCUUUCCUUGGCUCGAUAGGCCUGGGUAAUCUUUGAACGCCGGUCGUGAUGGGGAUAGACUUUUGCAAUUUUUGGUCUUCAACGAGGAAUUCCUAGUAAACGCAAGUCAUCAACUUGCAUUGAUUACGUUCCUGCCCUUUGUACACACCGCCCGUCGCACCUACCGAUUGAAUGGUCCGGUGAAGCCUCCGGAUUGGCGCGCACCUCGGUGCCGCCGAGAAGUUGGCUAAACCUUACCAUUUAGAGGAAGGUGAAGUCGUAACA
rnacentral:rRNA from 1 species